rnacentral:sRNA from 1 species
CGCGCUCCACACAGAUUAUAUCUGAAUUGAGGCCAUCCAACUGAAUCAGUGAUGUAACACCAGUAGUUGAGACUAAUAGGGAUAUUAGUUGUCAAUUACACAAAUGGUGU